GUGUCUGCUUUUUGGUGGGGAGACAAGGAAGAACAAAAAAGAAUGCAUUGGUGGGCUUGGUGGAAGAUGUGUAUUCCAAAGAAGAAUGGAGGAAUGGGGUUCAGGGACUUGAAUGCUUUUAAUUUAGCUAUGUUAGCGAAACAGAGUUGGAGGUUGAUCACUAAACCAAAUACUCUUUGUGCGAGUGUCCUUAAAGCAAACUAUUACCCAGAUGGCAAUUUACUAAAGGCGGGGCCUAAAAAGGGAUCAGCGUUUACGUGGCAGAGUAUAAUUGCUGGCCUUCGUAUCUUUAUGAGAGGUCACAUAUGGAGAGUUGGUUCUGGAGCAAGUAUUAAUAUUUGGGAGGACCAUUGGGUGCCUAGUAGUCCGAGCUGGAAGGUGAUAACUCCAAAGGGACAAUGUUUGAUGCAAACAGUGGAUGAGUUGAUUGACCCAUAUACGGGACAAUGGGAUGAGCUGCUGGUUAGAGACAACUUUCUUAGUGUGGAUGCAGAAAGAAUUUUACAGAUUCCCUUGAGCUCUAACAUGAAUUAUGAUUUUGUUGCAUGGCAGUUCACAAAAUCGUAUAUGUUUUCUGUUCGCUCAGCAUACUAUGUUGAGUGGGAACACACCAGUACGGUGCACAACUAG
rnacentral:rRNA from 1 species